GCAGUUGCCGUGGCAGCUUAGCCGUGAGUGGGUCAGGUGGCCAAAGCAGAGGCCGACCCCCGCCAGCCGUUGCUGUCAGGCCCCCUCUCGCUCUCUGGUUCAGGAGAACGUCUCUAGAAGAGCGUCAGUUUGGGGCUGGAUAUUGUAAAUCUUGAUCCAAGGAACAGUCUCCAGAUGGAGAAUGGAUAGAAUUUCUCCCCCUUCUCUUGCACUAGGAGUAAGUGAGCGUCACUAGAAGCAUCCAGAUAUGAAGGCUUCAAAUCCUACCUAAACUGCAGACCAAUCUCUGAAAGCAACUUUGUUCAAUUGCAGCCUGACUAGAGGGAGGUAUCAGAACCACAACAAAUGGAAUGAAACCUACCACUACCACCUGCCUGGCACAAAGAAAUAAUUUACAAUUCACGGGGAAUUUCCUGUGUUUCAUUUUGUCUGAAGAACUGUAACUGGACUUGAAUGAACUAAGUGUCUAAUUGUUGCAUUAUUUUUCUUGUAGAGAUUUUAGUGUUUUAUUACUUUCUCCAGUUUACUUCAAUAGUGAAUUAGGUUCCCUCUACCAUCUGAAAUGUUACAGUUCGAUAAAAUAGGUAAAUUAAUAAAGUCUAAAGUGCUUCCAAGCUGAGCAGAGACCUUUCUGUGCGCUGUGCUUUUAUUGCUCUUCCCAGCUGAUAUUUAUAACUGGGCCAUAUGUGGUUAUAAAGAUUUAUUAUGAGCCUGUGGAAUAAGUUCUGUUAAUGUGUACAGUAAAUGUCCAAGUUUUGACUCUGUAAGCCUUGGAGAUUUCUAAUAAGAUGAAGCCAUUUUGAUCAUGAGCCAAGCAGUGUGCACUUGGAGCCAGGCCUCGUAUUGACAAAGGGCUUAGCUAUGUGCUGUAGACUCUACCCACUCUCUGUGUGGGUUUGCUAAAAAUGUUUGCAAAG